AUUGAACGCUGGCGGCACGCCUAACACAUGCAAGUCGAGCGGUAACAUGAUCUGUAGCAAUACAGAUUGAUGACGAGCGGCGGACGGGUGAGGAACACGUAGGAACCUGUCUUUCAGAGGGGGACAACCAAGGGAAACUUUGGCUAAUACCGCAUAAUCCCGCACGAGCAAAGCGGCACGCACGGGUGGCAUGGAAAGAGGGGCCGGCGUCCGAUGAGCUGAUUGGUAGGGUACGAGCCAACCAAGGCGAUGAUCGGUAACUGGGCUGAGAGGACGACCAGUCACACUGGGACUGAGACACGGCCCAGACUCCUACGGGAGGCAGCAGUGGGGAAUAUUGGACAAUGGGGGCAACCCUGAUCCAGCGAUGCCGCGUGGGUGAAGAAGGCCUUCGGGUUGUAAAGCCCUUUAGACCGGGAAGAAGUGUGGUGGCUGAAUAAUCCAUCAUGUUGACGGUACUGGUAGAAUAAGCACCGGCAAACUCUGUGCCAGCCGCCGCCGUAA
rnacentral:rRNA from 1 species